CGGGUGGUCGCGCCGUGACGUCAAGGUGUUUCCCGGUGACGUCAGGCAGCUCAUGCGCAGUGGGCGAGGCGGCGAUUCUGGGUGACGUCACGGGGCCGGGCGUGACGUGCCGGUGGCACGGGCCGCUGGGAGCUGGCCGGGACCUGCGCUCGCCCCCCUCCCCCCUCCCACUACGGGUCGCGGCUGGGGGCGUCCCGGCGGCGGGGACGCGGCUGCCCCCUCCCCCUCCCUCGCCACAGCGCUUCGGUCCAAGAUGGCGGCGCUGAGCAGCGGCAGCAGCGCGGAGGGGGCCUCGCUCUUCAACGGGGACAUGGAACCAGAGCCGCCGCCGCCCGCGCUCGGCGCCUGCUACGCGGCGGGCAGCGGCGAUCCAGCCAUCCCGGAGGAGGUGUGGAAUAUCAAACAGAUGAUUAAAUUAACACAAGAACAUAUAGAAGCACUGCUAGACAAAUUUGGAGGAGAGCAUAACCCACCAUCGAUAUAUUUAGAGGCCUAUGAAGAGUACACCAGCAAACUAGAUGCUUUACAGCAGAGAGAACAGCAGUUACUGGAAUCGAUGGGGAACGGAACUGAUUUCUCUGUCUCCAGUUCAGCUUCAACAGACACAGUUGCAUCAUCUUCCUCCUCUAGCCUCUCUGUAGCACCUUCAUCCCUUUCAGUUUAUCAAAACCCUGCUGAUAUGUCACGGAAUAACCCCAAGUCUCCACAGAAGCCUAUUGUUAGAGUCUUCCUGCCCAAUAAGCAAAGGACGGUGGUUCCAGCAAGAUGUGGAGUGACAGUCCGAGACAGCCUAAAGAAAGCUCUGAUGAUGAGAGGUCUUAUUCCAGAGUGCUGUGCUGUUUACAGAAUACAAGAUGGAGAGAAGAAGCCAAUUGGCUGGGACACUGACAUUUCCUGGCUCACAGGGGAGGAGUUGCAUGUGGAAGUUUUGGAGAAUGUGCCACUCACAACACACAAUUUUGUACGAAAAACAUUCUUCACGUUAGCAUUCUGCGACUUUUGUCGAAAGCUGCUUUUCCAGGGAUUCCGAUGCCAGACAUGUGGCUACAAAUUUCACCAGCGCUGUAGUACAGAAGUGCCACUGAUGUGUGUUAAUUAUGACCAACUUGAUUUGCUGUUUGUCUCCAAGUUCUUUGAACAUCACCCCAUACCACAGGAGGAGGCCUCCUUAGGAGAGACCACCCCAGCAUCUGGAUCAUACCCUUCAGCACCCCCCUCAGAUUCUGUUGGACCACCAAUUCUCCCUAGUCCUUCUCCUUCAAAAUCCAUUCCAAUCCCACAGCCCCUCCGACCAGCAGAUGAAGACCAUCGGAAUCAAUUUGGGCAACGUGACCGAUCCUCUUCAGCUCCCAAUGUUCACAUCAAUACAAUCGAGCCAGUCAAUAUUGAUGACUUGAUUAGAGACCAGGGUUUACGAGGAGAGGGAGGUUCAGCUGCAGGUUUGUCUGCAACACCUCCUGCCUCUUUGCCUGGGUCACUCACCAAUGUGAAAGCAUUACAGAAAUCACCAGGACCCCAGCGGGAAAGGAAAUCAUCCUCAUCCUCAGAAGACAGAAACAGAAUGAAAACUCUUGGUCGACGGGAUUCAAGUGAUGAUUGGGAGAUACCAGAUGGACAGAUUACAGUUGGGCAAAGGAUAGGAUCUGGAUCAUUUGGAACAGUCUACAAAGGAAAAUGGCAUGGUGAUGUGGCAGUGAAAAUGUUGAAUGUUACGGCACCCACACCUCAACAGUUACAGGCUUUCAAAAAUGAAGUAGGAGUGCUCAGGAAAACACGACACGUGAAUAUCCUGCUUUUCAUGGGUUAUUCAACAAAACCCCAGUUGGCUAUAGUUACACAAUGGUGUGAGGGGUCCAGCUUAUAUCACCAUCUACACAUCAUUGAGACCAAAUUUGAAAUGAUCAAACUAAUUGAUAUUGCACGACAGACUGCACAAGGCAUGGAUUAUUUGCAUGCCAAGUCAAUCAUCCACAGAGACCUCAAGAGUAAUAAUAUAUUUCUUCAUGAAGACCUCACAGUAAAAAUAGGUGACUUUGGUCUAGCUACAGUGAAAUCACGAUGGAGUGGAUCCCAUCAGUUUGAACAGUUGUCUGGAUCUAUUCUAUGGAUGGCACCAGAAGUUAUUAGGAUGCAAGAUAAAAACCCAUAUAGCUUUCAGUCGGACGUGUAUGCGUUUGGGAUUGUUCUUUAUGAAUUGAUGACUGGACAGUUACCAUACUCAAACAUCAACAACAGGGACCAGAUAAUUUUUAUGGUGGGACGAGGAUACCUAUCUCCAGACCUCAGCAAAGUACGGAGCAACUGUCCAAAAGCUAUGAAAAGACUAAUGGCAGAAUGCUUAAAAAAGAAAAGAGAUGAGAGACCCCUUUUUCCACAGAUUCUUGCCUCCAUUGAGCUUCUGGCCCGGUCGUUGCCAAAAAUUCACCGCAGUGCAUCUGAGCCCUCAUUAAACCGGGCUGGCUUCCAGACAGAGGAUUUUAGUCUAUAUGCUUGUGCUUCUCCAAAAACGCCCAUCCAAGCAGGGGGAUACGGUGGGUUUCCAGUGCACUGAAAAGAAAUGUGAAAGCAUGUGCCUGUGUGUCUGUGUGCUGGUGUGUUCCUGUGAGUGCAACACGUGUACGUUCUCGGUUCCUACCAGCUAUGUUUUUAAGGUUUACUGAGGGAAUGAAGACUUUCUUCCUGAAAGUGGGCAUUGAAUGUCCUGAGCACAAAGUCCAUGUUGGUAACAACUGCCCUGGGAGCAGCUGGCACAAGAAGAAUUAUAAGAGAAAUGGGAAAAGGCACUUCAGAACAAGCAAAAAUCCUCUUAAGGAGAAUUUGCAGCGUUCAAGUAGCCACAGCACCAUGGCAGCACCCACUCUGUUAUUUAAGUCUUGUGUUCCGACAGUUUCUUAACAUCCAAACUCUAUUCUGCUCCGCAAAACCUAAAGUAAUUUAGAAAAGAUAUCCAUAAGCUUAAAAGUGGAGCAGAAUGGAACUGCCAGUCCAACACAAUGGGAAAAAGUACCUUUUUGGGAACCAGAAUCCUCUGCUGCCAGUGUUUCUCCUUCAACACAAACCACCACGUGCAUUCGGAGACCCGCAGUGGCUGCCUGUGCCGUUGGCAUCAUUCCCAGGAGAGAGGAGAGGGCGCUCGUGGUUUGACUGUGGUGCUCGGGCAUGAGGGGAUGGAACUGCUGCUGCAACUUAGGAGACUUGCUUUGGAUGGUCUGCCGGUCAGCUUUCUCCCUCUAACAACGUACCAUCAGAGGCCGAAAAUCUGAUGAGUGCUAAUUUACAAGAAUCAUCCUCUGUUCUGAUCUUUUUUUUCCCGGUGUACUCACUGAUUUAUGGACAAUGCAGUAUCCCCUUUUCACUGUAUUACACCAUCAAACACCUAAAUCUGUCUGUAUUAUGGGGGUUUAUUCCGAUAAAGUUAAAAGCGGGGGGUGAUGGGAGCUGGAGAAGAUGUGACUCUAAGGCAAUGAGGUUAACCUGAAGGAAAAGGGGAUGCUGCUGCACCUUUUUUCAGAUUUACUUUAUCACUUCUUCAAAAAACAUACAACCACCACCAACCUUAACCUGUUUCCUUUUUCAGUGUUUUCUCGGUGUAUGCAUAUACAACAUCUUUGAGAAGGAUCACGUAGAUCCUUCUUUUUGAUCCAGCAACAAACUGAAGUUUAAAAAGCAAAACAAAAAAUGUAGCGAGAUUGUCCUCUCUUACUCUUUUUCUUUUGUAUCAUAUGAUACAAUGUAUUUAUCAAAGAUGCUACCACAGCAUCUGAAGUCUGUAGAAUUCCCAAUACAGACUGUGAAUGGUGUAUGUACCUACUUUAAAAGUUUUAUUUUAAAAGAGGGUGCAGGUUAAUGCCAGGUACCUUACCGAGAUGUAAUGUUUUCAUAAACGGGGAAAAAAGUUCUCAGGUUGAAUUGAAUACAAAUCCAAAACCCCCUAGAAUUAGACAUUCCGAAAAAUUAUGUUUUGGUACUUUCAAGAGCUUUUUUUAAAGGAUUUUUAUCCUGUUAACUAAACGUCCUCUGAUAAGUGUGUGUGUAAAUGUGGAGCAUCUUGUCCUAAUGGCAAGUUGUUAGAUCAAAACAAAACGGUACUUGCUGGAUCCACACUGACUACUUCUCCUCUCACAGCUUUCUGCCCUGUCAUCUCUUCCCUUCCGUUUGUCUUUCCCUUAUGUAUGCUUUGCAAACUAGGAUGAAGGUGGCGGUGUUUCCACUAGAGUGCUUUGUUUUCCUGUCCUCCAGUCCUGGUUUUCGGAUGGUUGAUAGCUUUUUCACAAAUUACCCAGUCAGGGAAGAAGAAAAAACCCAACUCAUCAAGUUCUGCACAUUGUUUACCUCUCAUAGAGUAUGUUGUGAUGUGAUCUGUUUGCAGAGUUCUCUGGUAUGUGGUAUUACAUGUAAAUUAUCUGUACAGAGGCAAGUCAGACCACAUGAGAAAGAAAUCCAAGCUCAGACAGAAGUUUUCAGAGUUUGAUUCGCAUCUGCCCUGUACCACUCUGAGUGAGGCAGGAGAACCGACCCCCACCUCCAGCAGGGAGGUACUUGCUGGGAAGGAGAGGGGUGUUAAUCAUGACAAAUAAAUGAAGGAGUUAAAUGUGUGUGAAUGUGUUGUCCGUGCUAAACAUGGGUUUAUUGGGUGAGGACAGUGUCCUUCCCUCCCUAGGAGAGCUGGACUGUUUCUGUCUAUAGAAGGUUGCUCCCAGGUGAAGGGAGAAACGCACAUCGGUAGUGGGACAUAGUGUUAAACCCCUGGAGUUCUGCAGUGUUGCUGGUAGUUUGUUAUGUUUGUCAGUAAAUAUUUACUGGGGUUACAGGGACGGGACUAAUCUGAAGUGGGAAUUAUAACUGAAAUACUGUGUAUUCAUAUUAAUUCCACAAACAUUAGCAAGACAGCAAUAGUGAAUGACUUGAUAGUCACUACAAGAAUGAAGUGAUUCAUGUUGGUACAUGAAUAGAUUUGAUUUUGUGUACAGAUGCAUUUAAAAAAAAUACAAAAAAAACAAGCAAAAAAAAAAAAAGCACAAUUUUUUCUUGUCUGCUGUGGGUCUUCAGAUGCUGUAAGGUUUUUCCUUAUCGAGAUUGGCAGGAAUUUAAACAGUAGCAAUAGCCACUUCCCAGUGUGGAGAAGCUGAUGAGCAAACUGGCGUACAUACGGUGAAACCAUAGUGCUCCCUGGUGAUCAUCUGAGGCCAGUACCUAAGAGGUGGAAGGGGCCAGGGCCACUGUGGUCAGCAGGCAGGUGGGAGCAUUCACAGCCAGACUCCCAGAGGAUGAAGUAGUCGCUGCUCGUUCUCCUUCUGUGGCCCCAUGUGUAGGUGUCGGACAUACUGGAAAUGAAUGUUCUCUCGAAAGCAGCUUAUUGGAGCAAGGUGGUUCAACAGUCAUUUGUUUCACGGAGCUUCUUAAAAGCCCUGGUUUCCUUCCACAAGGUCAUGCGGGGGGAAGACUGUCUGCUAAAAUAUAACUGUUAGGAAUUGCAUUCACCUUUGCUUAAAGUUAACUUAUUUUUGGUGAAGAUUCAUUACCCAUUAGUCUACAAUAUGCUUCUUGAGCCCAUAGGAAAAGCACAAGGAAAAUUGCUAUCCUUGUCCAUGCAAAGCACUUUAUAAGUAACACAUUAUCUCUUGUUUUGUUUUAGGAUUUGGGGGUUUGUUUGGUUUCAGUUUUGUUCUGUUGUUUGUUGGGGUUUUUUUAUGGGGUUUGUUUGUAGUUUUGUUUUUCUGGGGUUUUGGGAGGGGAGUUGGGAGUUUGUUUUUUUUCUUUUUCCCUGAGGAAUGUGCAAGUUGUUUGGCUGCUGUUUAGAGAAGUCUUUUCAAGAUGCAUUUCUACUGGUUUUUGCAUUUGUUUGUUGCCCUCCAGAUAGCUGUAGUAGUGUGUGUUUGUCUGUAAAAGGUCCCAUGUAAUACUCAUGCAAAACUUUGGAAGAAAUUUGGUUUGUAAAUAAUUGGGAUUUUAAUCUUUUUUUAAUCUUUUCCUUUGGGAAUUUUUCUGGAUGUCUUGCAUGCCAUCAGAACCAGUCUUAAAGGUGCCCUGUAGAUGUUUAGUGAAUGGGGAGGUAAGAGUAAACGAGAACUGAGUGCCCUGUAUAGCAGUGGGAUGAAGGAGAUAAACUGAAAUGACCAAUGUGUUCAUGUCCAUUACACCAAAUGUCUCAAGUUUCUCUGCGCUGUCCUAACCACAAGCACAUGCCAUAUUAUGGAUAUGUUAGUUCCCUGGCAGUGUUCAAGGCCAGGCUGGGUAGGGCUUGGAGCAACGUGGUCUAGUGAAAGGUGUUCCUGCCUAUGGCAGGUGGUUGGAACUGGAUGAGCUUUAAGGUCCCUUCCAGCCCAAACCAGUCUGUCAUUCUGUGAUGAUUCUAUGAUUUUUGAGUGUGUGUGUUGGGACAGACAUCCAGACAGUCAUGCUGCUUUUAGCUCUACAGUGUCUAGUACCUAAUCAUUUGGAAAACUACUAGUAUCCAGUCCCAGCUAUUCAUGUCUUUAUUAACCACACAUAUACCUUCCCCUCUGCCUUUCCUUUUCCAUACAAUUAGAAGAGGCCUGUUAUCUGUUACAUAUUCCGUGUCAGUACAAGAUCAUUUUCGGUGGCAUAUUUGCCAGAACUGAAACAUAAUAAUGGAGCUUAAGCCAAAUGGUAUGAGCAUAGGAGCCUGGUUAUUUUGAAAGUCAUUUCUGCUUGAAUUAAGCCCUACAUAGCCCCAGAUAUGAUUAGCCCAGUCAUUUCUUUCUGCUAAACUCAUGCAGGCCAUUAAAUGAAGCCACUUCUGGUUUUCACACCCAAAAUCAUCUUUCUUUGCACCUGAAUGCUCUAGCAGCUGCUGCUGAUGCAGAAUGUUGAGGCCAAAUACUGCCAUCUUCUGGUGGCCUGUCAAUAUUACUUGGAUUAGUACUUGCUCAGUAGAGGUAGAAUUUGGCCUUCAUGCCAUAAAAUGAGUGAAAUGCUGACUGUUAAUUACCAUGUCUUUCCACAAAAGCCCAAAUCAGGGGAAGAAAAUACACUGAAGAUCACACAUAAAUAGGCUUGCUUCUGUGUUUGCCUGUUGAUGUCAAUGCAUCCAGCAUUUAACAGACUAUGUAGGGAAGCAAGAUUGCCAGACACCUCACAAACAAGUGUAAGCUCACGUUUUGAUAGGUGGAGAGGCUGAAUUUAGGGAAGAAGCAUGUAAACAUUUCACACUUUGCAGCCUAUAGAUUUCAUUGCCUUCUUGACUGUGAGUGUAGCAUGUGUAGCACAAACUGUUCGUAGUACUGUAGAUGAUGUGUCUUCUGUCUGUUGAAAAAAGUCUCACCAGUAGCACAAUGUGACAGGCAAAGCUUCUAGGUACAAUCAAGUUCAGUCAAAAAGCAGUUGCAUGAGAGGACUGUUAGGGCAUCACUUUGAAGGUGCUGGGUGUUCCAGUUUUCUGUUAUGCAUCUUAAAUAGAAGUUUGUGGAAUCAAUGUUCCAUUGACUGCAUCCCUGUUAAUAUGCGUUUGCACUUCACAUUUGUUUUGGCAUGCAUUUUAAAUGUCUGUCUAUCUUCAGUGCUUCAUUACUUCUUGCUUAGUAAAUGGAAUCAUCAGAAGAACAGAGAAAAGUUGUUAAAACUUUUUCCCUGCUUUUAAGUUUCAAGGAUGCUAACACAGAAGCUACUGAGUCAGCACCGUGACAGCAGUAACUAACUACGAAACUGUGGAAGGACAAAACAUGAAGAACUGCAGAUGAAAACUAGCCUCUCUCUUCUUUAGAACAGAGAGCUACCAAGACUGUCUCUCUGUUACUUGGUUUGUGUAGGGAUCCCCCCAAGUCUUUGCAGUUUGCCAAAUGAUCAUGUGCCUUCACAACCUUAAGAAGUCCAACAGAAUGUAAACCAGGUGCUUUGUAACUAGAGCAGUGGCUUUGGUUUACUUCUGCUGCAGUAGUUUUGUACAUAGCUGUUACUUAUAGGUAGGUAGUUUAGAGCUGGUAAACUUCUGUAAAGUAGCAAGGAGGGCAGACAGCAUUCUCCAAAACACCUAUUACUAUUUCAGAGCUAGAACUGAAGGAUUCCUAAUUCAGUUACAGGAAACCUGCUGCUUGAAAUCUGCUCUAUCCAAAGUUAAAUGAGGUUCAUUUAAUUCAGAAUAAGCCCUCCUCCCACUCCAAAGACACAAAGAUCUUGUUAAAGGAAGGUAAUGGAAAGCCCUGAAAAGGCCCAAAGUUACAAAAUGACAUUGUUAUAGCUUCUUGGAAUGUGAUUGCAGAUGAAAAAUGAGAGCUGAAUGAGGAGAAAUUGAUGGCUAGUACUUGUGUAAUCCAGGUAUGCAUAUAUCAGACUGUACACUCGAUUACCUGGCCCAGAAAGUGCAAUUAAUUGCUUUCUGGAAUAUCAGCAGGUUUCCUUAGCUAUUUUUUGGCCUCUUACAGUGAUGCAUACUGUUACUGCACAUUAACUGUUGGGAGAUGGUAGGUGUCUUGUCAACUGAGGGGACCCACCAGUGUGUUUGAAUUUGAUUUGUUCAAGUUUCAAACCUCUUACGUAGACUUACGGCAGUACUUAACAUACCAGUGUCAUAUUUACCUACCUGUCCAUAAAGGACGAAAUAUAAUGGGCUUUGGUAUUAGUGCUUUUUCAGAUUUUUUUCUUCUCUGGGGCAAGACUUUAGGCAUAAUUGUAAAUUAGUGUUAUGUCUAAAUGCACAGUUCAUACAAAAUCUCAGAACAGUUUUAAUUCGGCUUUGUUCCUUUUAGGCAGCAAAGUGUAAAAACAUUUUACACGUUUCAGGAUCUAUCUGGAAUCCUUCUGCCUACUCCAAACUCUGCACUAAAAGUACAUGUUAGGACAUGGAUGAACUAUUACACCAAGAGAAGGGAGCUGAUGGGAGAGUUCAGAAUCUUCUAAACUACCUAGGCAUUUGCUUCACAGUAUCACAGCAGCAGUGUCCUCAGCUCAUCCAGCCUCCUUAAGAGCCAGCAGUGGCCUGUGCGGUCAUUUGGUCUAGUUUGUCCCGUUUGCAGCAGCUGUACUGUAGAAUAAGCCUUGUGUGACAUGUACUUUUGAGCGAGUAAACCACAAAAAAUAAGUUUGCUUUUUUGUUUGGGUUUGGAAAAUGGCUGGGUUUUGUUUUGCUAGAUGUUGUUAUUCUGUGUUGCAUUGGUGUAUUCACCAGGGUUGUAGAAAAGAUCUGGCUCUCUGGUUGGGAGUUCAGUGGAACAUUAGGAGAAGAAAUGCAGCCCAACAGCUGGGCAUGGCCGUUGGGUUCUAGGGGGCAAAAUGGAACAAACUUGGGUUAUUUUGGGAUGGUGGGAGGGGUUCCGAGGGCAUAAUUUAAGUUAACUCUGUCUAAAAUAAAAUGUAAGUGCAAUAAAUGUGCUUUUUUUUAUUCAAAGCUGUGAACCUUUAGGAAAAAAAAGACACAAAAAAAAUCAAAAAAAAAAAAAAAGCACAUCAUUCCUUCAUGAGCCUUGUGUCCUACCUGCCUUCCCUUCCUCCCCCUCUCCACACUUCUCAACUGACAGAAACCCAGCAGUGCCCAACCUGCACGUGUUGGCAACCCCCAUUAACGUUGCUUUUCUUUUGACCUCAUUUGUUGGGAUUGGGGAAAGCCCUGCCCCCCUACUCCCUGCCCCCCUGGAUGUCCCGUUGGGAUCUGGCUCUGACCUGUGCUGCUGGAGCAAGGUCUGCUGCUGCUGGGGAGGCAGGAGCCAGUGCUAUGACAGCAGUGCAGUGCUCCUCCUGCCCCUUCAUCCUCCCCUUGUGUCAGGGGUAGUUGUGGUCUCCCAGGGCUGCACAUGUGUUUUCCUUCAGCACUCGUAAACAUAGGUGGUCAUUGGGUGCCCAAUGGAUUCCUUUUCCCCUCUACCCAGACACACGUGCAGGCUGGCCACUGCUGGCUUCUGUGACUCUGCCUUGUUUUGAAGGAGCAGGUAUAGGUGUUUGUAAUCCAUUGUGCAUUACUUGCACUGUCUCUCUCUCUCUUACUUGAGCGCAGGCUGCUUUUCCUAGAUUAGGGAAGGUGCACUGGCCUCCUGGGGGUUUCAUGAGAGGCACAAUGUGUUUCAUUAGAGUGAUGGAAGGUGUAGCACUCCAUAGUUGGACCCCAUGGGGGAGUAAGAGAGGACUGGCUUGUUUAAAGUUUAUAGAUACACAGAUCUAUAACCUUUAAACUUUAUUAUUUUUAUAUAUAGUCAAGACAAUGGCAUUACCUCAUAAUACAGAGGCUUGUUUAUGAGAGGCAAAGUAUCUAGUAAGGAGAGGAAAGGGAAAUUUAUAUACAGAGUUGAUUUCUUUUUGUCUGUUUGUUUGUUCCUUAGUGCAAUGAAAUGUCCCACUGAUUUGAACUCUGUGCUAACACAUUCCUUUCAGCUGUAUUUUUUGGUUUUUGACCACCAGAGGUUUGCAAGGGGCUUGUAACUGCAAAGUAGAAGGUCCAGUAUGGUUACUUAAAGACAACCAACCAACCCAAUUGUGUUAGUAGAUUUCCAUAGCUGCUUUUUAAAACCUACAAUGGAGUAAUUGUUUUGAAACUUGUAUUUAUUUUUUACUUCAUUACAAAAUGUUUAUUUUUGGUUUCCUAUUAUGUAGGUCAUGGCAACCCCCCCUUUUCUCCUUCUCGAGUUUCCCCUGUAAUUGCCAAUACAACUUCUUUUUUCUUGUUUGUUCCUUCCCCCUUUACUUUUGUUGUCCCUUCAUUUGUACUUUGGAGUUUUUCUCAUGUAAAUUUGUACAAUGGGAAAUAUUGUCCAGUUUGGUUAGAGAGCAUGGAGACUUAAAACAUAUUAAAAUUUGAUAGCUGAAUUCAGAUUGAAGAAAACUAUUUCUGUGUAAAGUUAUUUAAAGAACUCUGUAUUAUAUAAAAGGCAAAAAGUUCUAUGUACUUGAUGUGAAUAUGAGAAUACUGCUAUAAUAAAGAUUGACUGCAUGGAAAAGUCUGAA